CCAGUGGCUUCAUAGCUCAGUGGUAUGAGCGUUUGCACCGGAAUCGCAAAGUCAUGGGUUUGAAUCCCGUUGGAUGGA